AAAAUGCGAUAAAACUGAAUUGUUCCAUUUAAACAUGUGGCGAAAUAUUGUAUUUAAACGAUAUGUUGUUUUAGAUUUCGUUUAGGAGGAAUAACGUCGCAUGUUAAAGUUAUCUAGUUUGCUUUUUGGCCAGCCUGUUACAGUUGCGCUCUAGUGUAUUGGCACCCUUGUACGUCUAUUUUAAAUAAUUCAAUACGUCUUCAAAUAUACAUUUAAAAUCAAAAACGUGUUCACACGUGUACUGUGGUAAGUUGCAGGUCUUUUUACAAGGUAAAAACAGCCAUUCAAAUCGUGUUGAAAAGAGAACAGGAUAUUCUGCUUCAUUAUAACGUUACCACUGUGAACAUGGCGAAGGGGAAAGAACUGUCUGAGGAUGUAAGGAAUUUGAUUAUAACCAAACAUGGCCUUAAGCAAGGUUACAAGUCCAUCUCCCGAGACCUUGGCAUUGCUGUUUCCACAGUUCGUAAUGUUAUCAGGAAGCAUGCUGUCCAUGGAGUUGUAGUCAACCUCCCAGGACGUGGGCGCAAGAAGACUCUGGUUCCACCGGGUGAAAAAGAGAGAACUUGCAAGAAGAAUCUGGUUCCACCAGUUGAAAAAGCAGUUCGUUCUGCAUCUAUCCAAAAUAAAAUGACAUCUGUUUGUGAUGCCACCAAUGAUGACAAGGAAAAUGGUUCCGAGUCGACAGAGUCUCAGGACAAGGAACAUCCACGGCUUCUCAUCCCAGAGUUAUGUCGUCUUUUCUACCAACUCGGCUGGGUUACUGGGACAGGGGGAGGGCUAAGUUUGAGACGUGGAGAUCAGAUCUACAUUGCCCCGUCUGGAGUGCAGAAGGAGAGACUACAGAUGAGAGCGGCGCAGGCCGUCAUCCACACCCACUCCAAGGCUGCCGUCAUGGCAACUCUGUUUUAUCCUGGCAAGGAAUUCCGCAUAACUCACCAGGAGAUGAUAAAGGGAAUCCGCAAGGGCACCUCCAGAACCAACUACAGAUAUGAUGAAACCCUGGUGGUCCCCAUCAUUGAGAACACCCCGGAGGAGCAGGACCUGAAGGAGCGCAUGGCGCUGGCCAUGGAGCAGUACCCAGACUCCUGUGCGGUCCUCGUCCGGCGCCACGGCGUCUACGUGUGGGGGAGUCCUGGGAGAAAGCCAAGACCAUGUGUGAAUGUUAUGACUACCUAUUUGACAUCGCCGUCCAAAUGAAGCAGAGUGGAAUGGAUCCUUCAGCACCACCCGUUGAAGAGAACCAUUACUACGAUGUCCAACCAUCCCAAUAAAUGGAGGCAAACUAUCAGGUCCUAAAAUGAACACCUGCCAAAUGUGGAUUUUUUUCCCCAGCCAUGUCACCGGGUGGUCAGGACUUCACAGUGAAAGUAUUUCACUCACAUUUGUGAAUAUAGAAAGUCAAGUUUGAUCACAUUUAUAGUGACAUAUAUGCUGCACUUGCUGUUUUCAAAAUAUUUCUGCCGUUUUUGUUUCAUAGCUUGUAAUAUAUAGCCUGUUCCACCUCGCUCUGCAACACAGCCUGGCUGGGGGACUGUGCGCACGUGAAGAGCUGAGUGAAAGAUUACAUUUUUAGAAGCGCUGUGCACAGGCAUAAAAGUUGGUCUAAUUUACUUGAAAAGAAAGUCUACUGAAGUGAGACUUUGUCCUUGUGUGUUCUUGGCUAUUUACAUUGUUUUGUUCAUAAACUAGGUUGUUUUUCUAUGUUUGAGUUUCAACUGCUUGUGAAGAGAAGACCACGCUUCUACUAGUCAAUCUCACAGGCAGAAACGAUACUGUUUUGCGUUGCCACGGUAACCACCUUCCCUUAAAGGUGCAGGUGAACAUUUUUGUCUCUGAUAUUUUGGUUAAAAAUUAAAUUAAUGAAUAUACCAAUUUUACUUCUUACUAGUAAUACACUUAUUGUUUUUAGAAACAUUACAAUGCUUGCUCAUCUGUUUGUUUUGUUGGUGUAAUUUUAUGGAAAAUAUUUUGGCUGGUAAAAGAAUCUGUGUGGCUGGUAGAUUUAAAAUAAAAAAUAAAAAAUA